AGUUAGCUUGCAGGUGGCUAUGUACUCAUUAGCGUCAAUGGCACUUUCUAUAAGACCGGCACCGGAGGUGGGCUAGUAAGUGAUCCCUAGGCUCCGUACGUCCUCCCUACACUGUGUUCGCUGUGCUGUCACCUAUGAAAGACGCUUCCGGGUAGUGUUUUGUUGAUCUACCGAAGGUCUUGACUGAAAAGACGCCGUGUACGCGCAGGUUGCACUGUCUAUUGGGAGAUGCGUUAAGGUUUGCGUACUGGAGAGAUACCAGGGAGUCCCAUUUCCAUUCAUGUUGAGUGGUGUAUUCCUAGAGAAAGAUUGCCACUGCUGCUUUGCCUCCUGUAGAUUUAAGUAAUUGUAGCUCUUGCCUCAUUUUGUUUUCUUUAUUUUGUUUUGUUUGUCCGAUUGAUUUGGCCUAAACAUAGGCGUGGCUGGUUUCAUUUAUCUGCCCUCCGUCGUGGUGUGUCGGCAACAGGUGUGGUAUUGGCUGCCCCAGUAUUUUGCUGUGGUAAUGUGUGAUGGUAGUAAUGCUAACAUCUAGCUUUCUUGACCCAGCCAGUUAUUGCCAAUAGCAACCAUAUCUUCCCUUCUCCCCUCCAGAGAAACAGAGUGUUGCAGCUGUUCCGCGGGGCAGGUCGCCGGAUCUGAGUCCUCCUCUUCGUGUACUUCACACAGUAUUUGUAGUGGUAACGUGCACCUCACUAUUUGCAGUGAUCACUCUUUGUAGUACCUGUGCCUAUGCGAGCGUGUGUGUGUGUGUCUGUGAAUAGGCAACAGAAUCCGCAGCAAGGGUGGUGUGUCGGUCUCACUCCUCUUCCAGGACAGGUAACCUCUCCCGAACAGCUGAUCAAAUUAACCCUACUUGAUUACAUGUAAUAUUCCUGGUGGCAGCCACUACCUUCCUCUUGCUGGCCUAUUGGGCCUAAUAUGUACUGCACUCCAUCCUGAGAAUCAAACCCAAGACUGACUUUUUACUGAAUUGCUUGUGAAUAAAUAUUGUUUAUUUUUUCAUUGAAAUACCACGUCUCUGUCAUUACUUGCUUAUCUGUGUG